AAAAAGGGACCUCAUCAGUCAAAAAGGAUAUUGAUAGAGGCGAUGACCAAAUAGCUUCUAUGCUCGGAACAUUUGGUAGUAAGAAGGGGAAGAAGUUCAAAGACAAACCAGCAAGGACCACAACUCACUAUGUAUAUCCACGUCUUUCCCAACUGAGAUCCGAAGUGGCAAAAGAUUGACCAUGCUUGUAAAGGACAAGAAAAAGAUAUGUAGAGAGCUAUUGCAUCAAAGUGGAGAGCAAUCUCAUUAUAUGCUGCAGAUGGAUCUCCUAAAGCAUCAGUUGGCAUAGUGGACAAUAUGCCAUCCACAUAAGAUCGAUAUAAAUUCGAUCACUCAUCUUAUUUCGGUGGGGUUCAACUCCAAACAUUACCCCUCCUAUCAUAUGGGUAUAGCCAAUGGUUAGAGUUCAGCGUUGCCUCUUGGUAUCUUGAAUAAGAAUAGUUCGGUUUCUAUGACUACACACAUACAUGCAGCCAUAGUACCAGGAACCACAACAGAUCACUAUCAAACAUCAUAUGACUAGCAGGGAUUGAGACAAUAUCCACACCAUUAUAAUUUCCAAGAUCUGAAUUACAAACAAAAUCUAGAUAUCUACAAGGGUCACAUACACUCUAAAUGGGACCAAAUCUAUAAAGUAAGCUAUUAUUCAUUUUUUUCCAAUACUAUACUUUAUUUGUUAUUUUUUAUUUAUAAAUGUUGUUAGUUUAUUGAUCCAUGUUGACUCAACAAGUGUUG
rnacentral:lncRNA from 1 species